rnacentral:tRNA from 1 species
GGAUGGUUGGCAGAGCGGUCGAAUGCGGCGGUCUUGAAAACCGUUGAGGGUGCAAGCCCUCCGGGGGUUCGAAUCCCUCACCAUCCGCCA